UAAUAUGUCUGGGUAGGUCCUCAUCUAGUUGUGACAUAUCCAUAUCUAACUGCGUAGAAUCUUUUAUUAUCGUAGAUCCGACUAUAUCACCAUACCUAUGAAAUUAUUUAGUUAGUCAGAACAAAAA
rfam:Populus trichocarpa scaffold_15_contig_94, whole genome shotgun sequence.